UGCCAGACUCCUACGGGAGGCAGCAGUGAGGAAUAUUGGUCAAUGGGCGGGAGCCUGAACCAGCCAAGUCGCGUGAGGGAUGACGGCCCUAUGGGUUGUAAACCUCUUUUGCCGGGGAGCAAAGUGCCGCACGUGUGCGGUUUGGAGAGUACCCGGAGAAAAAGCAUCGGCUAAUUCCGUGCCAGCAGCCGCGGUAAUACGGAAGGUCCGGGCGUUAUCCGGAUUUAUUGGGUUUAAAGGGAGCGUAGGCCGCAUGUUAAGCGUGCCGUGAAAUGCCGUGGCUCAACCAUGGCACUGCGGCGCGAACUGGCUUGCUUGAGUGCGCGGAACGUAUGCGGAAUUCGUGGUGUAGCGGUGAAAUGCUUAGAUAUCACGAAGAACUCCGAUUGCGAAGGCAGCAUACGGCAGCGCUACUGACGCUGAAGCUCGAAGGCGCGGGUAUCGAACAGGAUUAGAUACCCCGGUAA
rnacentral:rRNA from 1 species